UACGGGGGGGGCAAGCGUUGUUCGGAAUUACUGGGCGUAAAGGGCUCGUAGGCGGCCAACUAAGUCGGAUGUGAAAUCCCCAGGCUCAACCUGGGAACUGCAUCCGAUACUGGAUGGCUUGAAUCCGGGAGAGGGAUGCAGAAUUCCAGGUGUAGCGGUGAAAUGCGUAGAUAUCUGGAGGAAUACCGGUGGCGAAGGCGGCAUCCUGGACCGGCAUUGACGCUGAGGAGCGAAAGCUAGGGGAGCAAACGGA
rnacentral:rRNA from 1 species